ACGCUGGCGGCGUGCCUAAUACAUGCAAGUAGAACGCUGAAGGAGGAGCUUGCUUCUCUGGAUGAGUUGCGAACGGGUGAGUAACGCGUAGGUAACCUGCCUGGUAGCGGGGGAUAACUAUUGGAAACGAUAGCUAAUACCGCAUAACAGUAGAUGUUGCAUGACAUUUGCUUAAAAGGUGCAAUUGCAUCACUACCAGAUGGACCUGCGUUGUAUUAGCUAGUUGGUGGGGUAACGGCUCACCAAGGCGACGAUACAUAGCCGACCUGAGAGGGUGAUCGGCCACACUGGGACUGAGACACGGCCCAGACUCCUACGGGAGGCAGCAGUAGGGAAUCUUCGGCAAUGGACGGAAGUCUGACCGAGCAACGCCGCGUGAGUGAAGAAGGUUUUCGGAUCGUAAAGCUCUGUUGUAAGAGAAGAACAGGUGUGAGAGUGGAAAGUUCACACUGUGACGGUAUCUUACCAGAAAGGGACGGCUAACUACGUGCCAGCAGCCGCGGUAAUACGUAGGUCCCGAGCGCUGUCCGGAUUUAUUGGGCGUAAAGCGAGCGCAGGCGGUUAGAUAAGUCUGAAGUUAAAGGCUGUGGCUUAACCAUAGUACGCUUUGGAAACUGUUUAACUUGAGUGCAAGAGGGGAGAGUGGAAUUCCAUGUGUAGCGGUGAAAUGCGUAGAUAUAUGGAGGAACACCGGUGGCGAAAGCGGCUCUCUGGCUUGUAACUGACGCUGAGGCUCGAAAGCGUGGGGAGCAAACAGGAUUAGAUACCCCUGGUAGUCCACGCCGUAAACGAUGAGUGCUAGGUGUUAGACCCUUUCCGGGGUUUAGUGCCGCAGCUAACGCAUUAAGCACUCCGCCUGGGGAGUACGACCGCAAGGUUGAAACUCAAAGGAAUUGAC
rnacentral:rRNA from 1 species